AACGCACAUUGCGCCCAUUAGUACUCUAGUGGGCAGGCCUGUUCGAGCGUCAUUUAACAACCUUCAAACUGUUAAGUUUGGUGUUAGAAGCUUUGUACUUGGUAAAAGAGUAUAAACUUCUUAAAUAUAGUGGCAGAUAUUUUUUAUAUAGCCUAACAAAGUAAAUUUCUUAGUUAUGGUUAAAACUAAUGUCUUGUCUCUACAUACUUUUUUUCUUGUUGACCUCGAAUCAAGUCAGAUUACCCGCUGAACUUAA
rnacentral:misc_RNA from 1 species